UGCUUGGAGGACUAGUGGUUAGGCCACUGCAGUCCCAUCGCUGCAGCCCGGGUUCGAUUCCUGGCCAGGAAA